UGCAGGAGCCUGGAGCUCCCGGGGCGGAAGGGGGGGGCGAGGCGUGAAAGGCGCUGCGGGGGAUCAGCGCUGCACAGAAACCGGCUCUCACCCGCUGGCGCGUGGCCGAGGCUCCCCCACCCCACCCGGAGGGUAAGAGAACUAAAUGUGGAUGACAGUGUCUGCCAUGACACCCAUUCUUCAGCUUUGCUAACAGGGCCCUGGUUUUAUGAAGAAUGAGACUAUGUCCAGCCCUAGUUGAUGAAACAGACUCUCUUGCAGCUAGGUGUGGCUAUGUCAGCCUGUUCUGGACAAUGUGAACAAGCAGUAGUCUGUGGAGAGUGGAGGGGUAUUCUAAGAAAACUUAUGCUCCAUUCACAUCUGACUUCCUGCCUUGAAGUGGUGCAUUGUCUGGAACAAUUAGCAGCCAACUUAUAACUGCGGAAAAAGCAAGCUGAAAAGUGAAAGCCAUCUGACUAAACCUAGAGGACCAGAAAGAGAGAAGCAUUUUGGAAUUAUGGGCACAUUGUUAAUUAAAUAAACUAAAACCA